UACGUAGGGUGCAAGCGUUGUCCGGAAUUAUUUGGGCGUAAAGAGCUCGUAGGCGGUUUGUCGCGUCUGCUGUGAAAACGCCGGGGGCUCAACUCCGCGCCUGCAGUGGGUACGGGCAGACUAGAGGUGCAAGUAGGGGGAGACUGGGAAUUCCUGGAUGUAGCGGUGGAAUGCGCAGAUAUCAGGAGGAACACCGAUGGCGAAGGCAGGUCUCUGGGCCGA
rnacentral:rRNA from 1 species